GAUGAACGCUAGCGGCAGGCCUAACACAUGCAAGUCGAGGGAGAAGCCCUUUCGGGGGCAGAAACCGGCGCACGGGUGCGUAACGCGUAUGCAACCUACCUUUCACAGGGGGAUAGCCCGAAGAAAUUUGGAUUAAUACCACAUAAUAUUAUUGGAUGGCAUCAUUUGAUAAUUAAAACUGCGGUGGUGAAAGAUGGGCAUGCGUCCUAUUAGCUAGUUGGAGUGGUAACGGCACCCCAAGGCUACGAUAGGUAGGGGUCCUGAGAGGGAGAUCCCCCACACUGGUACUGAGGCAGUGACCAGACUCGUACGGAAGGCAGCAGUAAGGAAGAUAGAAGAAUGGACGGAAGUCUGAACCAGCCAUGCCGGGUGCAGGAAGAAUGCGUUAUGGGUUGUAAACUGCUUGUAGAUGGGAAGAGUAAGGCGUACGGGUGCGUUGAUGACGGUACCAUAUGAAUAAGCAUCGGCUAACUCCGUG
rnacentral:rRNA from 1 species